AAGAGCAAAUAAGGGCAUACGGUGGAUGCCUUGGUGUCAAGAGGCGAUGAAGGACGUAGCACGUUGCGAAAAGCUUUGGGGAGCCGCGAGCAGGCUUUGAUCCAGAGAUGUCCGAAUGGGGAAACCCGGCAGCCUAUAGGGUUGUCAUCCUGAACUGAAUUCAUAGGUUCAGGAAGCGAACGCGGGGAACUGAAACAUCUCAGUACCCGUAGGAAAAGAAAUCAAACGAGAUUCCGUAAGUAGCGGCGAGCGAACGCGGAGCAGGCCAGCGUCAUCAACUGAGAACAUUUUAGUCGAACAGCUCUGGAAAGGGCGACCGUAGGCGGUGAUAGUCCGGUAGGCGAAAAGGUGUUCGAGGGGAGCGCGUCGAGUAGGGCGGGACACGUGGAAUCCUGUCUGAAUAUGGGAGGACCUCCUUCCAAGCCUAAAUACUCCUUGACGACCGAUAGUGAACGAGUACCGUGAGGGAAAGGUGAAAAGAACCCCGAUCAGGGGAGUGAAAAGAUCCUGAAACCGUAUGCUUACAAGCAGUGGAAGGGCUAUGUGAGUUUACUCACAGCCUGACUGCGUACCUUUUGUAUAAUGGGUCAGCGAGUUAAUCUUUGUGGCAAGCUUAAGCCGAUAGGUGUAGGCGCAGCGAAAGCGAGUCUGAACAGGGCGAUUGAGUCACAGGGAUUAGACCCGAAACCGGGUGAUCUAUCCAUGGGCAGGUUGAAGGUGCGGUAACACGCACUGGAGGACCGAACCCACCUAGGUUGAAAACUGGGGGGAUGACUUGUGGAUAGGAGUGAAAGGCUAAACAAACCCGGAAAUAGCUGGUUCUCCCCGAAAACUAUUUAGGUAGUGCCUUGUAUAUGUCUGUUGGGGGUAGAGCACUGGAUGGGCUAGGGGGACUCACCGUCUUACCAAACCCAACCAAACUCCGAAUACCGACAGGAUUGAGUACAGGAGACAGACAGUGGGUGCUAAGGUCCAUUGUCGAGAGGGAAACAGCCCAGAUCGCCAGCUAAGGUCCCUAAGUUGGAUUUAAGUGGGAAAGGAUGUGGAAACGCAGAGACAACCAGGAAGUUGGCUUAGAAGCAGCCAUCUUUUAAAGAAAGCGUAAUAGCUCACUGGUCGAGUAGGUCUGCGCCGAAAAUAUAACGGGGCUCAAAAUCCACACCGAAGCUGCGAAUUGGCAAGGUCCGAAAGGGUUCUUGUCUCUGGUAGGGGAGCGUUCCGUAGAUCUGUGAAGCCGUACCGUAAGGAGCGGUGGAGAUAUCGGAAGUGAGAAUGCUGACAUGAGUAGCGAUAAAACAGGUGAGAAACCUGUUCACCGAAAACCCAAGGUUUCCUGCGCAAGGCUGUUCCGCGCAGGGUUAGUCGGUCCCUAAGGCGAGGCUGUCAAGCGUAGUCGAUGGGAAACUGGUCAAUAUUCCAGUACCGUUUAUAGUUGCGAUGGGGGGACGGAGAAGGGUAGGCCUACCGGGCGGUGGUUGUCCCGGAUUAAGCGUGUAGGCGUGGCACCACAGGCAAAUCCGUGGUGUCGUCAAGCCAAGGCGUGAUGACGAGUCUGCUUGCAGACGAAGUGGUUGAUCCCAUGCUCCCAAGAAAAGCCUCUAAGCUUCAGACUAUAGGCGACCGUACCCCAAACCGACACAGGUGGGUAGGAAGAGAAUUCCAAGGUGAGUGAGAGAACUCGGGUGAAGGAACUCGGCAAAAUAGCCCCGUAACUUCGGGAAAAGGGGCGCCCCUGGUUGUGAGACGACUUGCUCGUGCAGCGACUGGGGGCCGCAGUGAAUUGGGGGGAGCGACUGUUUACCAAAAACACAGGACUCUGCGAAGUCGCAAGACGAAGUAUAGGGUCUGACGCCUGCCCGGUGCCGGAAGGUUAAGAGGAGAAGUGCAAGCUUUGAAUUGAAGCCCCGGUAAACGGCGGCCGUAACUAUAACGGUCCUAAGGUAGCGAAAUUCCUUGUCGGGUAAGUUCCGACCUGCACGAAUGGCGUAACGACUUCCCCACUGUCUCCAUCCGAGACUCAGCGAAAUUGAAUUUGCUGUGAAGAUGCAGCAUACCCGCGGCAAGACGGAAAGACCCCGUGAACCUUUACUAUAGCUUUGUAUUGGCACUAGAAACAGUUUGUGUAGGAUAGGUGGGAGACGUUGAUCGGGAGGCGCUAGCCUUUCAGGAGUCGUCCUUGAAAUACCACCCUGAUUGUUUUUGGUGUCUAACCACGACCCGUUAUCCGGGUUUGGGACAGUGCAUGGUGGGUAGUUUGGCUGGGGCGGUCGCCUCCUAAAGAGUAACGGAGGCGCACAAUGGUUCGCUCAGGUUGGUCGGACAUCAACCGUAGAGUGCAAAGGCAAAAGCGAGCCUGACUGCGAGACAGACAUGUCGAGCAGGGACGAAAGUCGGUCUUAGUGAUCCGGCGAUCCCAAGUGGAAGGGUCGUCGCUCAACGGAUAAAAGGUACUCCGGGGAUAACAGGCUGAUCUCCCCCAAGAGUUCACAUCGACGGGGAGGUUUGGCACCUCGAUGUCGGCUCAUCGCAUCCUGGGGCUGUAGUAGGUCCCAAGGGUUUGGCUGUUCGCCAAUUAAAGCGGUACGCGAGCUGGGUUCAGAACGUCGUGAGACAGUUCGGUCCCUAUCUGCCGUGGGCGUUUGGAAAAUUGAGAGGAUCUGCUCCUAGUACGAGAGGACCGGGGUGGACGUGCCUCUGGUGUUCCGGUUGUCCUGCCAAGGGCAUUGCCGGGUAGCUACGCACGGAAGGGAUAACCGCUGAAAGCAUCUAAGUGGGAAACCCACCUCAAGAUGAAUUUUCCCCAUGAGACUCGUGGUAGACCACCACGUUGAUAGGCUGGGUGUGGAAGCGUGGUGACACGUGAAGCUGACCAGUACUAAUCAGUCCAUUGGCCUUCUUAU
rnacentral:rRNA from 1 species